rnacentral:tRNA from 1 species
AGUUAUAUAAUCUAAUAAAGAUAUCAGAUUGCAAAUUUGAAAAUAACUUUAAGUUUAUGACUU